rnacentral:rRNA from 1 species
CUUUCCCUGAAGGUCGCAGCAAGACUAGCUGCUUGAUAGGGUAGAGGUGUAAGCACAGUAAUGUGUUUAGCUGACUACUACUAAUAGACCGUUUGGCUUAUUUGAUAUUUUAA